UUCCUCCAUAGCUCAAUGGCAGAGCAUUCGACUGUUAAUCGAAGGGUUGCUGGUUCGAGUCCAGCUGGAGGAGCAAU
rnacentral:tRNA from 1 species